CGAUCAUAUUUUUAACGCUUCAUUCAAGACUCACAACUCGAUGUUUUCAGCGAAGGAUUUGGAAUAUUCGUUUGAAGGUUAAAAAAUAUAUCAAGUGUUGUAACAAGUUCAAAUCUAAAGCAUGACGUUUGACAUAAGAGCGCAUUACUAUGAAAUAUGGAGAUUUGGUGUGAUUCCAUCGCUAUAGUUUCUUGAUCAGCCCCGUUGGGAUGUCGAAUCUCAAGUCUUUCUGAUGUAGUCAAGUGGAAUGUCUUCAUCGGGAGUGAUCUGAUGUUGAAAUUUGAGUUUUUGUAUAUACUUAAGUCAAGUGUUUUCAUUAAGAGUGAUUUGAUUUUGAAUCAGAAGUAGCAAUUACAUAAUUCGCGUGUAUAA